rnacentral:rRNA from 1 species
CAGUAGCCGCGGUAAUACGUAGGUGGCAAGCGUUGUCCGGAAUUAUUGGGCGUAAAGGGCUCGCAGGCGGUUUCUUAGGUCUGAUGUGAAAGCCCCCGGCUCAACCGGGGAGGGUCAUUGGAAACUGGGAAACUUGAGUGCAGAAGAGGAGAGUGGAAUUCCACGUGUAGCGGUGAAAUGCGUAGAGAUGUGGAGGAACACCAGUGGCGAAGGCGACUCUCUGGUCUGUAACUGACGCUGAGGAGCGAAAGCGUGGGGAGCAAAUGGGAUUAGAUACCCCCGUAGUCCCUGUCUCUUAUAC